CCAAGCACCUUAACCUGGGUAUAGUCACUAAUAUUCUCCAUUUCAUAUUUGUAUUAUUGAUUUGACAGUGUAAUUCUACUGCUGCUCUUCUUCUACUUUUCUGCUACAACACUGCACUUUUCCUGUGGGACAAUGAAAUACUUUCUCUUGAACUAAUCUACAUGUGUGUUUGUUUACAGUGAAGCCCGACACCAGAAGUGACCCUCCUGCUGAACCUGAAGAAGAAGGAGUGUCCUACUCGACCAUCAGAUACAACAGGAACAACCAGAGAAAUGAGGUCAGACAGAGUGAGGAGGAGGAGGAGGAGGUGACCUACAGUUCAGUGAGGAACAUCACUGUGGAGGACCCUGCUCAGCUCUACGCCACCGUCAACAAAUGAACAACAACCAACAAAUAAAUAACCAACAACCAACCAAACAACAAACCAUCAACCAACCAACAAAUAACCAAUAACAAACACAACAACAACCAACCAAACACCAACCCAACAACCAACCCACCCAAAACAAAGAAACAAUCUAUAAUAAACCAACAAACAAACAAUAGUAAGACUGAUUCAAAUAUGAAGUGGACUUGGGACUUUUAAUGCACCCUGUGUGUGUUUUAAAAUGUUUGGAAAUGUAUUUAACUUGUGGAUAUAGCUGUAGUACAAGUAGUGGUAGUAAUAGUCAGAGGUGGGACUUGCA